rnacentral:rRNA from 1 species
GGAAGUAAAAGUCGUAACAAGGUUUCCGUAGGUGAACCUGCGGAGGGAUCAUUACUGAUUUAGCGAACCGAGCGUUAGCGAGGUUUUGCGAUCAACUUGUAUUUAAAACCCACUCUUCAAUGUAUAAAAUUUGUAUUAAUGAUAAAUUAAAAGAUCACUUUCAACAACGGAUCUCUUGGCUCUCGCAUCGAUGAAGAACGUAGCGAAGUGCGAUAAGUAAUGUGAAUUGCAGUAUUCCGUGAAUCAUCGAACCUUUGAACGCAUAUUGCACUUUCUGGUAUUCCGGAAAGUAUGCCUGUUUGAGGGUCAGUUAAAUAAAAAUCGGUGUUGUUGCCGCUUUCCGUGGUGACGCGUCGGAAUUGAGUCGUCUUCGGUUAAGUGACUUAAAAUUUUAUAUGAUUUUCGAACGUAUUUAAAUUUAUUUGAACGUUUGGUAUCGAAUGCUUAUUAGGUUCGGUCAUCCUCAUGACUCGCGCCUAUAAUUUUUCAUUAAAUGACCUCAAAUCAGGUAAGAAUACCCGCUGAACUUAAGCAUAUCAAUAAGCGGAGGA